rnacentral:rRNA from 1 species
GCCCGCUCAAGAAACUCGAAAGGAAUGACGGGGCCCGCACAAGCGGUGGAGUAUGUGGUUUAAUUCGAUGCAACGCGAAGAACCUUACCUGGUCUUGACAUCCCGGAGACCCUUAGGAAACUAGGGGGUGCUUCCAUCUGGAAGAAUCUGGAGACAGGUGCUGCAUGGCUGUCGUCAGCUCGUGUCGUGAGAUGUUGGGUUAAGUCCCGCAACGAGCGCAACCCUUGCCUUUAGUUGCCAGCAGUUCGGCUGGGCACUCUAAAGGGACUGCCGGUGUUAAACCGGAGGAAGGUGGGGAUGACGUCAAGUCCUCAUGGCCUUUAUGACCAGGGCUACACACGUACUACAAUGGCCGAUACAAAGGGCAGCGACACUGCGAGGUGAAGCCAAUCCCGUAAAAUCGGUCUCAGUCCGGAUUGGAGUCUGCAACUCGACUCCAUGAAGUUGGAAUCGCUAGUAAUCGUGGAUCAGCAUGCCACGGUGAAUACGUUCCCGGGCCUU